UACGUAGGUCCCGAACGUUGCGCGAAAUUACUGGGCGUAAAGGGUCCGUAGGCGGUCUGGUAAGUGGAAGGUGAAAGCCUGGGGCUCAACUCCAGAAUUGCCUUCCAAACUGCCGGACUUGAGGCAGGGAGAGGUCGGCGGAAUUCCCGGUGUAGUGGUGAAAUGCGUAGAUAUCGGGAGGAACACCAGUGGCGAAGGCGGCCGACUGGAACUGUCCUGACGCUGAGGGACGAAAGCCAGGGGAGCGAACCGGAUUAGAAACCCUAGUAGUCC
rnacentral:rRNA from 1 species